AGCGACAUUUUGUUUCCUCCUAUUUUCCUUCACACGCUUCUCAAUCAUCCUCUCAUUUCUCUUCAAUGAAAUCCCUAUUUCCUUAAUUAUGUAUUCAUUUCUUUUCUCAAUUUCUUUUCAAAUCAGAAAUCUGGAGCCAUAGUGGCAGAAGUGGUGGUUGAAGACAAACCAACGAUGGUGAUAGGAUUUCCCCAGUUGUCAAUCACUCAUGCACCUAACCCUAAUCACUAUCUCACUCAACCUGCUAUAAAUGUUGCUUCCAGAUCUUUCUCUACGAUUCAAUACAGACGAAACGUUCAAGAUCCUUCAGGUUCGGUAUUGGUUAGGGUUGGCAGGUUCGGUAUUGGUUAGGGUUGGCAGGUUCGGUAUUGUUUAGAGUCUUAUGACUCUUAUGCACUCCAUCACUAGUGUGUUUCAAUUUCUUGAUUGGUUUCUUUUUUGUUUUUUCUUCUUAGUGAUUCAAAUUAAUUUUAAUUUAAUAUAAUAGCAUAAAAGCCACAUUAGGGGGUGCAGGUUGAGGCAAGUUCUGUAUCCGGUCUAUGUUUGAUAUUAGUAUCGUGUACAUGGAGUGUGAAGAUUAUAAUACGAAGCUGCCAAAAUAUUUGCCAGACCAGGUCCUUCGGACCGGAAGGCCUUUGGCUUACGGCCCAUAAGGGCCUUGAAAAAUCAAAAUUUUCCAAAAAUGUCACUUUUAGUCCCUACAAUUGAGUUGUGUGUUAUUUCAUGCUAUAGUUACAUAGUUAUGUAUGUUUUAGGCAUUUUAAGGUGUAUACAAGCAUGUGAAAUGUAUGAAUAUGUUUGAAUAUAACUAUGAGAAAAUAUAAUCUCGGUGUAUAACUCGGUUUUUAAUUAUAAAUGUGUAUUUCGUGAUUGUUUGCAUAUUGUGCAUGCAUGAUUAAACAAGUAUGAUAUAAAAUACGAUUUCCAUUACGAUCAAAGUCUCAGGAAUACAAGGAGUGAAAUUGAAAUACGAUUUACAAUAAAUCAAAAAUAAAAUGAAAAAUACGGAACGUUACAUCAUAUGUGACAAUAUCUCACAAUUCAUUGGAAAAAGAACAACAAAUUUAUGUGAUAGUUAGGGGAUCAAGAUGAUAACUUCAAAACCGGUACAUCCUCAAGCCAACGGUAAGCAGAGUUAAGCAAUAAGAUCAUCAUCAACAACCUUAAGAAGAUAUUGGGAGCUAAGAAGGGGAAAUGGACAAAAGAAUUACCCUUUGGCCAAAUAUAACAACAACAAAGAAUGCAAUAGGCUAGACCUCAUUCUCAUUAGUUUUUGGAACUGAAGUCGUGAUCCCUACAUAAAUGGUGAUCCCUACGGCUAGAUCCAGUCUUCAUACCAAGGAGACCGGUGAUCAAGCCUUAGUGAAGGAUGUUGAUACCAUUAGGAUUGCAACACAUCAACAAAAGAUAACAAAGUCCUAUAACAAGAACAUUCGAAUAAGAGCUUAGGGAGGAACGACGUUAAAGGUUUUGAAGGAAGAGGAGGCUUGAGUAGUUGAGUUCGAAGAUUAUUGUGUAAUGAUUUAAGUUUUUUAUUAGAACUCGUUGUUUAUGUU